GUUACUACUCCAAAUAAAGUUGCACAGUUUAAUAUAAGUGAUAUUUUUCAAAGACCAUUCGCAUGUCAAUUUGUGAAAACGCUUGGCAUUCCACACAAUGAUUUUGAGCUUAUCCAAAAAUGAGAAACUAAUUUUAAUUAGUUUAAUUUUAGUUUCACAAUUUCUUAGUUUCUUAAAGAACUCAAAGGUAAGAGUUGUGAAUUCGGCCUGCCUACUGAAUCCAGUGGCCUAGUCCAGGAUGACUAACAGAAUAUGAAAUUACGCAUUGAGAUUUGAUAGUGUCCUCCGAAAUUUAUAUGUGGAGCCGUUCUGGAGGCCAAUUGAAAAGGAAUGAUGUGUUUAUUGAUAGCUGAUUCUAAUACACCCACGCCCACUUCCAAUUUCUGAAUCACUGUUUGCAAGAUGAAGCAAUCAGCAAUGUUGGAAAUAACUUUAAAAUUCAAUGUGUGAAGAUAUGUCAACUUCCGUCGUUUUAAUUGAAAUUUGGUUAGAAUCUAGGCGAUCAAUUGAGAUGUACACAUAUGCCUGUAUAAAUACAAACAGGUUCCGAGUGCUAUACAUAUAUAUUGUUUGCAACGGUAGCUGAAAUCGCCAAUAUCUAUACUGUUGGAAGAAGACACGGAGGACGAAAAAAGCAUUAUGAACUUUGCGGGGUUCAGUAUACCUCCCACCUGUGUUGCCUGCAGGCACACGAAGAAGAUAAUGAGGAGCCACCCGGAAACCAGAAAAUAAAAGCACAACCAUGCUGUUCGACUCCAGAGUACUCCGAAAUUGCUAAACAUUGGGAAAAUGGAGGUUUCCCUUAGAUGGCACGACAGAGCAGCAUGAGGAGCAUGUGGAGUGGUCAGCAGAGACGUAUGGCUUGAAACUGAAAGCGAUGUCGGAGAUGCUUUAAGACGUUGCGGCACAGUGGUCAACGUUUGUGAGGGUAGAGUAUUUUCUGUCAAAAUAUUACUUUGAAAACUUAAAGGCCGAAGUCACUCAUCAUGUGAGCACUGCAGAGUGUGAACUGAAGUACAUCUACAACAAAAGCUUCACCGAUCUUCACGCAUAUGUCCGCCUAUAUCAAUUUUGCAGCUUAACGAUGGUGAUGCUGCUGGCAGACGUGCUCGAGAAUCUGGAAAACGAUUAACCUGAUUAGUUUCGGCAGCAACAAAUUCCAAAUAGAACGCGGUUCAUAGCCAUGUACGAUGCAGAGUGCCCAAUCGAGGAUGUCUAGCCCCGAAGCACGGAGGGCGAAAGCACUUCAACUUGUGACAGGUAUUCAAGGAAAAGCGUGAUAUCAUGACAUUGGUAUACGUAUAA